UACGUAGGUGGCAAGCGUUAUCCGGAUUUAUUGGGUGUAAAGGGCGUGUAGGCGGGAGCGCAAGUCAGAUGUGAAAACUCAGGGCUCAACCCUGAGCCUGCAUUUGAACCUGUGUUUCUUGAGUGCUGGAGAGGCAAUCGGAAUUCCGUGUGUAGCGGUGAAAUGCGUAGAUAUACGGAGGAACACCAGUGGCGAAGGCGGAUUGCUGGACAGUAACUGACGCUGAGGCGCGAAAGCGUGGGGAGCAAACAGG
rnacentral:rRNA from 1 species